rnacentral:lncRNA from 1 species
GGACAUAAACAACAUUUAUUUGUAAUAUAUUUACAUAACUGGCUUGCAGUUGGGUAAACAAUUUAAAUCUAUACAUCUCCAUGUACAUUUCUAAAUGGAGCUGACAAUUAAUAAACAGUAAUUAUAAGACCAAAACAUCUGGUCUUCUUUUAUAAUGAAAUGAUAAAAAAUAUUUCCUGAUUUCUGAGAUGAUAUUUGCAAAAACAGAUCUUUAUGACCAAUAAAGUAUAAUGAUGUCACAAACAAACUGACUUAUUAGAUGAUAAUAUCUUCAAUGUAAUUUUUGAACACAGAACUUUAUAUUUAUAACACAUUAAAUAUCAGCUAGAUCUUGUUCCAAAAAAUAUCCAAUAGAAAUAUUUUGCAAUUUGACCAAAUAUCUUUAAUAUCUACACAAUUCAAUGUUGUGUGAUGAUUCCUGAUCUUUCUUUUUGUUUAAUGUUGUACCAUCUUUUGUUUUAUAGGGUUAAUGCCCAGUAUUAGAACAUUGUUUAUUUGUAGUCUAUAUAUUAAAAUCUCUGAAUAUGUCUCUUUAGUUUUAAUCAACUAGAAGUCUUUUCUGUUAAGGAUUCCAAGACUUUCUCAAUGGCUUCUACUACCCUCGUUUCUUCUGUCAUUUCUUUUGGCUGGUCAGUCUGAAAAUG